GGGAGUUUUGCCCUCUUCCCCCAUCAGCUUUCCUCUGAGGACGAAGACAUACAACAUACAUGCAUGCCUAUUAAGGCUGACUAGGGCAGCCCUAUGGAGGAUGGAUUGGAGAAAAGAUACUGACAUCAGGGAGCCGUGACAGAUCUUUGCUGUUGUCCAGGUGACAGAUAGAUCUACACAGCUAAAUGAGAAGCGGAACUGGGAAUCUUUUUUGCAAACAAAACUCUGGCCCAUUAAGAACUCUCUGCUGCCUUGUGAAGGUAAUAGGGAGGGGAAUGCAGUCUUAAAGGACCCCACAACCCUGAUUAUGGUUUGAUUUUGCCCAGAGACAGAGAUAUGGAGUCCACAUAGGCUUAAGGUCUCUUACAGAAUUUAGACCAUUUUUUUUCAUUUUAUUUCCAUUCCAGCCUGUGAAAUGGCGAGUGUUCUCAUCAUGCUUUCUUCUCUUUCUCAAGAGCCGUCAGCUCUACCAAGCACAGUAAGCUCUCAAUAAGUAUUUAUUGCCUUGAAAUUGAAUUAUAGCUGUCUAAGCCAAAACCCAGAGAAAAGGAGAAAUUUAUUCAAGAUCUCACAGAGGAAUUUGAACUUGAAUCCUGGUUUCUGGAUUUCCUGUCAAGAACUCUUGCAAAAAUGUCAUCCUGCCUUGUGAUAGCUCAGGUUCAGACCUCUGGCAGUGGAGGGCUUAUACUGCUCUGACCAACGUGUGACUGGGUCUAGUCUCUUUACCCCUCUGGGCCUCAGUGCUCUCAUCUGCACUGUGUGAAGAUUAGGCUACAAGGUAUUCAGAGGGCCUUUCUAGUUCUGCUCCUAGGAAUCUGUGACCAACACUGAGAAUAUAAACCUGUGGGCCCUUGGGUGGGGUGAGGAGGGGAGGAAGCAGUUGGGGCCUGCCUCAUAAGCUGUGUGUCACACCUUCCUCCCUCUCCCCUGACUCCAAAUCUCCAUUAAAAGAAGUAGAAUAACUUUUCCGGUUUGGGAAAUCAUUCUCUGACCCAAAAGCCAUUGGGCCUCUGGAAAGUGGGACAGCGUGUCCAGCCCACAGCCUCUAAAUGCCUUAUAGGGCUAGAAAGGCCACGGUGGCUGGCUGGGCGGGUGGGAAAUGGUUGGCUUGGAGAAGCUCCCCAUUUCUGGAAGAUCUAACCCUGGUGGGGAAGGGAGGUGACUGCCACUUAGCCCUGGCAGGUUGACAGGCUGGGCUGAACCAGUGUGUUCUGGAAAGGCCAGGAAUGAUGUCAUGGGACACUUUGGGCUGCAACAACAGGAAACCACUGAGUGUUUACAUUGGCUCUCAGAGCUCAGGCAGCCUGUUUUUUCUUCACUUCCUCAGUCUAUCUGUUUCCUCUGAUUCAAAUACUAUGAAGAGGGACUCAUUGCCCAGGCCAGGGAAAGUGGAAAGGAGGCCCAAGAAGAAAGAGCCUCCUUCCCAGCCCAGAAUGUCAGAUGCUUGGGAGGGAAGGCCAGCUUUACCCUAGCUGGGCCCCUGCCAAGAAUAGAUCUUAGGGUAGGGAAGCAAGACAGUUAGGGCCUACUCUGAGCGUUCUACAGCUCCAUGGAUAGCAACUUCAAACUUCUUCCAAAGACCCAAGUUCUAAACUUGGAAGCCAUCUUGUAUUCUCUUCAGAUCUAAUCAGUUACCAAAUCUUGUUAAUUAAAUCUAAUUGAUUCCAUUUUAACCAACAGUGGAUUUGUGUGCAAACUGCUGUGUUGUGCUGUCUGUGUGUGGCAGGGGAGACAACACAGGUAGUGGGUGACAUACAAAGAUAAAAGAGUUCUUGCCCUCAGGGAAUUAAUGAUAGAGUGACAGAGUAACAGUAGGAUGUCCUCCAUCUGUUUCCAUCUCUUCAUCUCCAAGGCUGCUGCUCCAGUUCAGGAACACCCAUCAUUUCCCAGCUGUAUGCAACAGUCUUUUAAUGGGCCUCCCUGUUUCCAGUCUUUCCCCUCCCAUGCUUCCUUCAUAAUUAUAUUGAAGUGACUCCGAUAUAAUUAUGGAGGAAUGCUCUCCAGCUCCACUCUCCAGCUCCACUCUCCAGCUCCACUCUCCAGCUCCACGCUCUCUCAUCAAGCCUCCUAGAUGGUGUGGCAGGGUGGCUUUGAGUUUUGUCUCGGUGUCAGGCAGACCUGGGUUUGAGUGGGUACCUUACCAUUCACUAUUGGCUGUGUGACAGUGGGCAGUGGCUUUGCUUUUCCAAACAGCUAUUUGUCUAGCUUUAGCUUCUUUAUUGACAAAAUGAAGAUAAAUUCUACCUCACGGGGCUGUUGUGAGAAUUAAAUGAAAUAAUGUAUGUAUGGUGCCCCAUACAGAGUUAACACUUGAUAAAUGGCAGUUCUAAUUACCAUGCCUCAGAUGUGUCAUGUUCAUUUCUAUCUCAGCUCCUUUAUGCCAUCUGAAACAGGCUCCUUUCUCUUAAAGACUACUGUAACUGGUAGGAACCUUAGAGACCAUAUAGAGGAGUCUGAUUACCCCUACUGAGGCCAGGGAGGGGAAACAACGUGCUCAAGGUUACACAGAAAGUGAAUUCCAGAUCAGGUGCAGUGGCUCACACCUGUAAUCCCAGCACUUUGGGAGGCCAAGGUGG
rnacentral:lncRNA from 1 species